rnacentral:rRNA from 1 species
GAUGAACGCUGACAGAAUGCUUGACACAUGCAAGUCAACUUGAACUUCGGUUUGGGUGGCGGACGGGUGAGUAACGCGUAAAGAACUUGCCUCACAGAUAGGGACAACAUUUGGAAACGAAUGCUAAUACCUGAUAUUAUGAUUAUAUGGCAUCGUAUAAUUAUGAAAGCUAUAUGCGCUGUGAGAGAGCUUUGCGUCCCAUUAGCUAGUUGGAGAGGUAACGGCUCACCAAGGCGAUGAUGGGUAGCCGGCCUGAGAGGGUGAUCGGCCACAAGGGGACUGAGACACGGCCCUUACUCCUACGGGAGGCAGCAGUGGGGAAUAUUGGACAAUGGACCAAGAGUCUGAUCCAGCAAUUCUGUGUGCACGAUGAAGUUUUUCGGAAUGUAAAGUGCUUUCAGUUGGGAAGAAAAAAAUGACGGUACCAACAGAAGAAGUGACGGCUAAAUACGUG